CGGGGCUCGGGGGGCGCAGGGGGGGCUAGGAGGGGGCGGGGAGGGCGCGGGGCUCGGGGGGCGCCAGGGGGGGGGGGGGGCUGGGAGGGGGCGGGGAGGGCGCAGGGCUCAGAGGGCGGGAUGGGGACGCGGGGCUCGGAGGGCGCAGGGGGGGCUAGGAGGGGCGGGGAGGGCGCGGGGCUCGGGGGGCGCAGGGGGGGCGGGGAGGGGGCGGGGAGGGCGCGGCGUCGAGCCCCGGGCAGGGGCGGAGCGGAGGGCGGGGGCCAGAGCGGGGGGGGGGGGGGGGGGGGGGGGGGGGGGACACAGGGGGGCGGGCAGUCGGCGUCCCCGGAACCGCGCUUCCCGCAGUGGGGGCGCUCGCGGGUGUAGACGCCGCUCGCGGGGCGCGGGUGUAGGCCGCGGGGCGCCGCCGGCGUCGGACGGGCGCGCUCUGAGUUGGGGCGAGCUUGCAGAACGGCGGUGCAGCGCGCCUUGGGGCGGCCCUGGGGGCUGCGGGUCCGGCGGCGGCGGCCGGGCUCAGCGGGCAGGUGCACCCUGCGCAGCGGCCUGCGGGGCGUUUGUGACAGCGCGACCUCGUCGGUGCCCGCCCCGGGUGCCCGUCCUCCCCUGGCGGAGGUGCCGCGCUCGAGUCCCCGAGUCCCGAGUGCCCGUGGGCGGGCCGAGGUAGCCCAGGUGCCCGGAGGCCGGUGUGGGCGCGGGUGAGCACUGCCAGCGCGGGGAGGGCUCCACCUGCGGCCGCCCCGGGAGGUCCCCGGAGGUCCUGCCCCCGCGCUGCUGCACAAGUGAGCCUCCAGGUCGGUGUGAGCCUCGGGACUGUGGGCCGUGUGCUCCCGCUGCCCACCACUGCUUCAGGGGCUGCGGGGGACCCGAGGACACCACGCUGCAGGAGCUCAGUCUGAAGGACAUGGAGGAUCCAGUAGCAACAGCAAGCUUCGGGCUUCACGGUUAGCUUCUCGGAUGGCAGGAACCGCGGCAGAGUAUGAUUCCCUUUAUUUGAAGAUGAAAACCGGGGCAAAGUCGACGUUUCAUUUAGGAUUACAGACACAGGCGGCACAUCCUUUAAUUUUUAAAGGUCAUCAAUAUGAGGAGAGCACAAAACUCCAAAACCGAAUAACUCUAGAAAACCAAAGAGCCUCAGUUAUCAGCAACGCAAAAUACACACGGAGUGCCGGUGUGUCCUCUCUGCCUCCUGCCCCGGGACCUAAAUCCAGGACAGCAACCUGUGCGCCCGGAGAAGCUCCCAGGAGAACCCACAGAGGCGCAUGCAGCCCCCACUGCAGUGCACGCGAGGGUAGCAGCGGCCGAGCCCAGCGGGCAGGCGACCUGCGGACCCCCAUCCCGCACCUGCUGGCCCCCCGGCCUGCCCGGCCCGAAGCCGGGACACAGAAGGACGGGCGACAGCUGAAGGGCACGGGAUGGCGGACAGGACACGAGCAGGGAACCCGCCCAGGCUGAGCCCACCUCCGUGCCCGAGUGCACGGGAGACGCUGUCGGACGGGCUGGGUGCUGGGUGACACCUGGGCGGGGACGAGCACCCAGAGCCGCGCGCCAGACAGCGAGCCAAAUGGCACGUUCCCCGUUACGUGUGUUCUUUUUUUUUUUUAAGAUUUUAUUUAUUAAAAAAAAAUUAUUUAUUUAUUCCUGAGAGACCCAGAGAGAGCAGGGGAGCCCGAUGCAGGACUCGAUCCCGGAACCCCGGCGUCACGCCCUGGACCCAAGGCAGAUGCUCAACCGCUGAGCCACCCAGGCGCCUGCAUGGUCUACCACGGUUUUUAUUUUUUUAUUUUUUAUUUAUUUUUUUAUUUUUUUUUUUAAAGAUUUUAUUUAUUUAUUCAUGAUAGUCACACACAGAGAGAGAGAGGCAGAGACAUAGGCAGAGGGAGAAGCAGGCUCCAUGCAGGGAGCCCGACGUGGGAUUCGAUCCAGGUUCUCCAGGAUCGCGCCCCGGGCCAAAGGCAGGCGCCAAACCGCUGCGCCACCCAGGGAUCCCUCUACCACGGUUUUUAAAAAAAUUAUAUAACGUUCUAAAAACAAUCUAAUUGUAUACGCCUAACGUGUGAAUUAUAUCUCAAAGAUGUUUCAAGAAAAACCCCAGGAUUACGAUAGUCUUAAUUUUCUAAGUAUAUAUUUUAUUUUUGAAAAUAUGUGCGUGUGUGUGCGUGUGUGUGUGUGUGUGUGUGCAGGGAGCCGUUGGUUGAGCUCCAACUGUUUCACUUCAGGUCCUGAUCCCGGGGUCGUGGGAUCGAGCCCCACUUGGGGUCUGCGCUCAGCAGGGAAUGUGCUGGAGAUUUUCUCUCUCCCUCUCCCCCUCCUGCUCAUAGGCGAGCCUACACUCCCUCGCUCUCCGUCUCUCAAACAAAUCUUUAUAUAUGUAUGCAAAAACCUGUGUGUGUGUGUGUGUGUGUGCAUUGUUUGUACAUUGUAGAUGAGUGAUUUAGCGGAUAUUUUCUCUUUUCUGAAUUUAAUUCAGAAAAUUCUUUAAAAUUCUUAAAAAUGUCCUCCAUUUAAGAAUUUUGUAGGGAUCCCUGAGUGGCGCAGCGGUUUGGCGCCUGCCUUUGGCCCAGGGUGCGAUCCUGGAGACCCGGGAUCGAGUCCCACGUCGGGCUCCCGGUGCAUGGAGCCUGCUUCUCCCUCUGCCUGUGUCUCUGCCUCUCUCUCUCUCUCUCUCUGUGACUAUCAUAAAUAAAUAAAAAAAAAAUUAAAAAAAAAAAAGAAUUUUGUAAUUUGGGGGCACCUGGGUGGCUCAGCAGUGAAACGUCUGCCAUCGGCUCAGGCCGUGACCCCGGGGUCCCGGGAUCGAGUCCCACAUUGGGAUCCCCCCAGGGAGCCUGCUUUUCCCUCUGCCUGUGUCUCUCUUUCUCUCUCUCUCUGUGUCUCUCG
rnacentral:lncRNA from 1 species